rnacentral:rRNA from 1 species
ACCGCCCUAGUUCUGACCGUAAACGAUGCCAACUAGCGAUCCGCCGAUGGAAACACAAAUUGCCAUGGUGGGGAGCUUCCCGGAAACGAAAGUCUUCCGGUUCCGGGGGAAGUAUGGUUGCAAAGCUGAAACUUAAAGGAAUUGACGGAAGGGCACCACCAGGAGUGGAGCCUGCGGCUUAAUUUGACUCAACACGGGGAAACUCACCCGGCCCGGACACCGUAAGGAUUGACAGAUUGACAGCUUUUUCAUGAUUCGGUGGAUGGUGGUGCAUGGCCGUUCUUAGUUCGUGGAGCGAUCUGUCUGGUUUAUUCCGAUAACGAGCGAGACUCUGGCCUACUAACUAGUCCGCGCAUUGCCUCUGUGCCGUUGGACUUCUUAGAGGGAUUCGCGGUGUUCAGCCGCAAGAAAUGGAGCAAUAACAGGUCUGUGAUGCCCUUAGAUGUCCGGGGCUGCACGCGCGCUACACUGGCAGAAUCAGCUGGCUUGUCCUGCCCCGAAAGGGGCGGGUAAACCCGUGAAAAUCUGCCGUGAUUGGGAUCGGAAAUUGCAAUUAUUUUCCGUGAACGAGGAAUUCCAAGUAAGUGCGUGUCAUCAACACGCGUUGAUUACGUCCCUGCCC